rnacentral:rRNA from 1 species
CCACGUUCAGAUUGCAGGCUGCAACUCGCCUGCAUGAAGUUGGAAUUGCUAGUAAUCGCGAAUCAGAAUGUCGCGGUGAAUACGUUCCCGGGCCCUUGUACACACCGCCCGUCACACCAUGAGAGCCGAUAACACCCGAAGCCUGUGAGCUAACCGUAAGGGGGCAGCAGUCGAAGGUGGGGUUGGUGAUUGGGGUGAAGUCGUAACAAGGUAAC